UACGUAGGGGGCAAGCGUUGUCCGGAUUUAUUGGGCGUAAAGAGCGUGUAGGCGGUUUGGUAGGUCCGCUGUGAAAACUCGAGGCUCAACCUCGAGACGCCGGUGGAAACCAUCAGACUAGAGUCCGGAAGAGGAGAGUGGAAUUCCUGGUGUAGCGGUGAAAUGCGCAGAUAUCAGGAAGAACACCCGUGGCUAAGGCGGCUCUCUAGAACGCAACUGACGCUGAGACGCGAAAGCGUGGGGAGCAAACAGG
rnacentral:rRNA from 1 species